UACGUAGGGUGCAGGCGUUAAUCGGAAUUACUGGGCGUAAAGCGUGCGCAGGCGGUUUUGUAAGUCAGAUGUGAAAUCCCCGGGCUUAACCUGGGACUGCGUUUGAAACUACAAGGCUAGAGUGUGGCAGAGGGGGGUGGAAUUCCACGUGUAGCAGUGAAAUGCGUAGAGAUGUGGAGGAACACCGAUGGCGAAGGCAGCCCCCUGGGUUAACACUGACGCUCAGGCACGAAAGCGUGGGGAGCAAACAGG
rnacentral:rRNA from 1 species